rnacentral:rRNA from 1 species
CGACUUCUAGCCAUGUAUGAAGGCGCGGCAUACGGCUCAGUAACACGUGGUUAAUCUACCCUUGAGACUGAAACAACCCCGGGAAACUGGAGCUAAUGCUGGAUAGAUGAAAAUUCCUGGAACGGUUUUUCGUCCAAAGGCAUCAAAAUCAUGCUUCUUGGUGUUGCUAAGGGAUGGAGCCCGUCCCAACAGGUUGGUGGGGGAGGAACCGCCUCACCAAACCAUUACCCGGACCGGGCCUGGGAAGGGGAAGCCGGAAAAGGAAACUGGAAAAAGGGUCCCGGGCUUUACGGGGCCAACACGUUGCAAAACCUUGUCAUGGCAGAAAGUUGGGAGGGGUUACCCCGAAUGGCUGUCCGUUAAGAUUGGUUUUUCUCUGUUUAAAGAGGGGGGGGAAAUAAGGGGGGGGGA